AGUGAACGCUGGCGGCAGGCCUAACACAUGCAAGUCGAACGGCAGAACAGAACGUGCUCGCUCUUUCGGGUGGCGACGGGCGGGCGGGUCCGAAGAAUCUCGCUGUCUGCGUUUUAGAAGGGGCGGACACGGGGGCUAAUACGCCAUUCCUGCAUACGACCUACGGGUGGGAGCUUGGGACCUUCGGCCCUCACAUGAGCCUAUGUCGGAUUAGCUAGUUGGCGGGUUAAAGGCCUACCAAGGCGACGAUCCGUAACUGGUCUGAGAGGAUGAUCAGCCACACUGGAACUGAGACACGGUCCAGACUCCUACGGGAGGCAGCAGUGGGGAAUAUUGGACAAUGGGCGCAAGCCUGAUCCAGCCAUGCCGCGUGUGUGAAGAAGGUCUUCGGGUUGUAAAGCCCUUUUGGUGGGAAGGAAGGGCAGUAAGUUAAUACCCCGCUGUUCUGACGGUACCCAAAGAAUAAGCACCGGCUAACUUCGUG
rnacentral:rRNA from 1 species